GCCUGGGUAGCUCAGGUAGUUAGAGCGUCCGCCUGAAGAGCGGUAGGUGGUCAGUGCAAGUCUGACCCCAGGCA
rfam:Parcubacteria (Nomurabacteria) bacterium GW2011_GWB1_43_7 TW02_C0009, whole genome shotgun sequence.